UACGUAGGGUGCAAGCGUUAAUCGGAAUUACUGGGCGUAAAGCGUGCGCAGGCGGCUCUGCAAGACAGAUGUGAAAUGCCCGGGCUCAACCUGGGAACUGCAUUUGUGACUGCAGUGCUGGAGUGCGGCAGAGGGAGAUGGAAUUCCGCGUGUAGCAGUGAAAUGCGUAGAUAUGCGGAGGAACACCGGUGGCGAAGGCGGCAUCCUGGACCGGCAUUGACGCUGAGGCGCGAAAGCGUGGGGAGCAAACAGG
rnacentral:rRNA from 1 species